GGGGGCAGGGGGAGAGCAAGAGGUUGCGGGGCGACGGUGAAAGGUUUGACGGGACCAAAUUCUGGAACAUUCGGGACUGCGGCACCUCACGGCCGGACCGAGAUUUGGGUCUGCACAGACUACGAUGGGUGGUCCGAUGGGCUUCAGGACUUGAUGGCGUAACCUCCUUCUUCCCCCACGUACGUAUUUGCUGGGAUCGGGGCGAUGUCUCUGCGUAUGUGGGUGCUCUGUCUUUCUCACCUUCUUUCUCGCUUUUUGCUAUUUAUUUCUCUGAGGGAGGGUUUUUUUCCACUUUGAUUUCUUUUCCCUUAGUGUCAGCUGCUCAAGCCUAACCGGGGUAGAGUCUCUGGCUUCCCACCUGACCUCUCAGCCUUUACCCCAUUUCCUUCUAGUGAACAGACAGACCGACUGGUUCUCCAGGUUGCUGGGGUGUCAGCGUCCGUCUGUCUGUCUGUGCAGGUCUUACGUGGAAGGUAGGGAGUGUGGGGAAGUGCUGAGAGGAAGACAGAGGGACAGUUUUUUUUCCCAGGGGCUGCCUUAUUGAAAUGUUUGGCCCUGGGAAUUUGGGGCUGGUGGGGAGCAGGUGGCCAGGGUGGGGUGUGGGCUGGGAGAAGUGGGGUAAAGCUGGUAGGUUUGUCACUGCGUAGUUUGGGAAAGUGGGGAAUGGUGACGCAGUCACUGUUGCAUCUUGUUAGGAGCUCUAUGGGGACAGGUAGUGAGGCUCCCGGGGUCUGUGGGGCCAGCUGAGAGGGGUUAAGGAUGAGCUGAGAAGGGAAGCUAGCAUUUAGAGAUUAAAUGUCAUCCUUUGGCGUUGGAAAGUUGUUUACCUUGCGCUCUCUGUGUCUCCAUGUUGGCUCCCUUCCAGUUCACAUGUGAUGGCCUUCCCUGUACUGCUGCAUCAUUAACUAAGUGACUGAGCUGGCCUUCCAUUGGCCAGGGGAGGGCUCUCACUCCAGACACUUCCUCUGAUUGGUGGGUGAGCCAAUGGCAGGUGAAAAGCUUUUUUUGAUUGGCUGAGGGCAGGGUAUCAAAUCUGAAUUUGCAUUUCACUUGCUUAACGGGGAGGGGGGAGAAGCCCAGCAGCUUUCUAAAAUCUCUUUAGGGGUGUGCGUAGGCUCCUGUGUCUAUGCUUGCUUUUGACUGCCCAGUCAAAGCCUCUUCCUUUACCUUUUUAAAUCUCAUGCACUCUACGGAAGAAGAGCGCAGGGCUCUCCAAACUUUUUUUUGGUGGGAGGAAGGUUGGGCAGAUAGGUACGCAAUUGGAAGAAAAUGUCUGUCCCUUAGUUUGGUGUUGGACAAGGGAAUUUUCCAAUCAGCCACACCUCGGUGUUGCGGCAAAAUAAUUCUUGGCUCCCCUGGAAACACAUGGGCAAGGUAGGGCAGAGCUGCUGCUGUCGAUAUUGCCACCACCCCGGGCUUCCUGCUGACUCGGGGCUACUCCCUGGGGACAAGAGAUUUGCAUUGACGUCCGGGGCUGUCCAGAGGCCCUCAGGAGCCAGUCGUGAGCUGAGCCCAGUGUGGGAAAGACCUACCUUCUGGAAGCUGCUGCUACCUGGUGCUUGGAAAGGUUCACUCAAGAUGAUGGCUUUUGUGUAGCUGAAAUUGGUGGAUUAAUAGAUUCAGGAACGUACUGUGGGCACAGGGCAGUAGGACUGGUGGUGGCAGAGUGAGGGUUAACCAGGGAGCCUUCCUGGGAGCCCUUUGAUGCCAGGUUAGUUUCCCUUCUUUCCGAAUCUCAGCAGUGGCUGCCCGCUUCCUGAUGCUGUUGAGUCCCGUGGGAGGGUAGCUGGGCACCCUGAAGCCCCUCGUCACCAAUUCUGGGGCUGCAGAGCAGAGAGUGACGACAGCCAGUGAGUCGUCAGUCGACGGCAGUGGGGACCCUGGU